GAUGAACGCUGGCGGCGUGCCUAAUACAUGCAAGUCGAGCGAACGGACGAGAAGCUUGCUUCUCUGAUGUUAGCGGCGGACGGGUGAGUAACACGUGGAUAACCUACCUAUAAGACUGGGAUAACUUCGGGAAACCGGAGCUAAUACCGGAUGAUAUUUUGAACCGCAUGGUUCAAAAGUGAAAGACGGUCUUGCUGUCACUUAUAGAUGGAUCCGCGCUGCACUAGCUAGUUGGUAAGGUAACGGCUUACCAAGGCAACGAUACAUAGCCGACCUGAGAGGGUGAUCGGCCACACUGGAACUGAGACACGGUCCAGACUCCUACGGGAGGCAGCAGUAGGGAAUCUUCCGCAAUGGGCGAAAGCCUGACGGAGCAACGCCGCGUGAGUGAUGAAGGUCUUCGGAUCGUAAAACUCUGUUAUUAGGGAAGAACAUAUGUGUAAGUAACUGUGCACAUCUUGACGGUACCUAAUCAGAAAGCCACGGCUAACUACGUG
rnacentral:rRNA from 1 species